rnacentral:lncRNA from 1 species
UUGACUCUUGUGAAUGUGUGUUGUUUUAAUGACUUUAACUAAACGUGUUUGUCAUCUUACAUAGGAUCCACAUAAAACCUAAAUUUCUUUACACAAACAUUUCUUUUCACGCCGUAAAUUAAUUCUCUCAACUAAACUCAUCUCUUUCAAACGCCAAAGCAACCCUUUGACUCUCUGCAAAUCAGAAACCGUAAACUCAUCCCUAUCAAAUCUUGACUCUGCGUAGAUCGAAAGCAAGUAUUCUUUUUUUUUCUUUUGGCUUUUUGAACUUUUUUGCUGAUAACCCGCUAGACCCGCUUGUUUGAUGCGGAGCGGGUGUGGUUAUCGAAAUCCGGUCAUGCGGGUCUUGCGGGUAUAAUUUUCAAGUGAAAAAAUGAGUUUAACCUGCGGCGGGGCGGUUGAGCGGGGCGGAUCCGACCCGCUUCCCAGGCAUAAUCAUGGGUCUAGAGGAAGCAGCAGGAUUGAACAGUUACCAACGACGUUAGGAUGCGUCUCCGUUCUUCACUGCUGUCGUAUUAGGGUUAGCAAAACUCAGACUUAUCCGGUCAGUUACGCUUUCUUUAUCAUAGCCCAAUAACAUGUAAAAUAACGAAGCCCAAUAAGAUGAUGUUAAUGAAACUCUGCGUUUCUUAUCUCUGGACACGUGGCAUCACUACAAACCUCGAUUUUCUGACCUGGCGCUGACGUGGAUGCACAGGAGUGAAGCAAACAUAUUUUUAUAUAUAUAGAUAAUUGAUGUCAUUCUGUAAUUAUAGGCUAAAAGUUCUACGUAUAUGAUUGGCUUAUUACGUGAUAUACUUUAGUAUCACGAUUCUAAGAAUAGUGGUGAGUACUUGAUUGGUAGAUUCCCACAGAAUAUUCCAUGUCUGAUCGUGUAUUAACUCGAGUUAACAAAAAAAGAAAGAUGUAAUGCAUAUCAACAAAAGUCAACGGAAACAAAUGUCCGAAAAUCAAUCGACACGUUUAGUUAGUUUGCCGUUCCCAUGAUUCGUCGGAGAGAUCUCAUCACUUGUCGCCCCUAACCUAAUGGCCUC